AAAAGCAUUAUUAGUUCACCUAUGUAGAACUAUCGAGGUCACGCGAUCGCUGUGUUCGUUCGGACUGUUUAAACGAAAAUAACUCUGGAUUUGUUGCACAGUAUCACGUCAGGUAGGUAGAUGGAAAACAACAGAUUGGAGUGAGCCUCUGAGCAAAACAAAAAUGUUUACAUCGCGUACGGAGAUUAGACGUGUUUUAUAUAUAUGUAAAAAAAAAGGUGCAACACGUUUAUUGCGUACUAUUGACGGCACUAUCGAACCCGACAACGCAGUUUCUACGAUUUUUUUUUU